rnacentral:rRNA from 1 species
UACGUAGGGUGCGAAGCGUUGUCCGGAAUUAUUGGGUACGGUAAAGAGCUCGUAGGCGGUCUGUUGCGAUUCGGCUGUGAAACCCGGGCUCAACUCGGCCUGCAGCCGAUACGGGCAGACUAGAGUUCGGCAGGGGAGACUGGAAUUCCUGGUGUAGCGGUGAAAUUCGUAGAUAUCAGGAGGAACACCAGUGGCGAAGGCGGACUUCCUGGACACUAACUGACGCUGAGACGCGAAAGCGUAGGGGAGCGAAACAGG